GACGGAGGAUGCAAGCGUUAUCCGGAAUUAUUGGGCGUAAAGCGUCCGUAGGCGGCGAUUCAAGUCAGAGGUGAAAGCCCGGGGCUCAACCCCGGAACUGCCUUUGAAACUAGAUUGCUAGAAUCCUGGAGAGGUGAGUGGAAUUCCGAGUGUAGAGGUGAAAUUCGUAGAUAUUCGGAAGAACACCAGUGGCGAAGGCGACUCACUGGACAGGUAUUGACGCUGAGGUGCGAAAGCGUGGGGAGCAAACAGG
rnacentral:rRNA from 1 species